rnacentral:lncRNA from 1 species
UCCAUAUUUAGAAACACGACCUUGACGAUAUCAAAAUUCGACAAAAGCAAACAGCAAACCUUCUUUUGCUAUGUGAUUUUUCGACCUUGACUCUUAAGAGUUUAAAACAGAUGGCUAAUGAAGAACUAGAAACUAGAACGUAUACUAUCGGGGAGUUAGCCGACCUGAGAUUUGGCUUAUGCUAAAGAGAAAUCUAUUAUUCUAUUUAACCCAAUUUUUCCAUAUCUUACAUCCCUCUUCUUUCUUACUUCCGGAGUUUGGAGAUUGUUGUGUCGGAUUGCUCGGAGAUUGUUACAGCUGUAAACAACUCAGCUUCUCCUGACUUAGACCUGGGUUUUUUGAUUGAAGACCUUCAUCGGCAUUGCAGCAAACUUCCGCCGCACGUUUACUUCAUUUGAAGUGCAGAAUAACCAACAAUGUGGCUUAUAUGUUAGCUUAGGAGACUGAGGCUAAUGGGUUCUCCCUUGUACGUUUUCUUUUCUGCAUCCCAUUCAAUUGUGGAGGAGGCUCAUAUCGAUGAUUGUAAUGAUUUCUAAUCAAUGAAUUCCAUUUAUUUGCUCUCGAAAGUGAAAAGAGAAAAAACAGUGUCAAUCGCAGUAAAUUAGAAUCGAAUAGCCCCUCAUACGUAACUAAUUCUUUCAACCAAUAAAUUUAUUCAUUACCUGGAAAAUACUCAGCGCAAGAUUGAAGUAAAGAACAAUAUUUUAGUCUUGUAAUUAAUUAUGCUUUCCAAAAUUGCUGUAUUUCAUGUAGGGUUGUUACAUGAUAUAAAUUGUUGUUAUGGUAUAUGUAGAGAAUAGUAAUAUAAGAGCACCUGUAACAUGUCCCCUAAACAUUAUAUUAAAAAAAAAAAUUAUAAAUAUAUAUAUAUAAGGGUUUUUCUUAAACAUCAACUAAUUAACCCAAUUUUGCCAUAACUUACGUCCCUUGCUUCAGUGAUUGGUUUCAGGGACUUAUUUGGGUUUUUUCUUGCUCUUUGUGUAGGUUAAUGUUGAGGAACUGCGAAAAUGCAUUUGUAGCUUGAAAACCCUGGAGGCUUUAUAUGCUCUUCAAAGUAUUGAAAGAUGAUAGGAAGUUCACAAAAGCUGAGAUUGUAG